rnacentral:rRNA from 1 species
CACGUAGGGUGCGAGCGUUGUCCGGAAUUACUGGGCGUAAAGCGUGCGCAGGCGGUUUUGUAAGCCAGAUGUGAAAUCCCCGGGCUUAACCUGGGAAUGGCAUUUGGGACUGCAAGGCUGGAGUGCGGCAGAGGAGACUGGAAUUCCUGGUGUAGCAGUGAAAUGCGUAGAUAUCAGGAGGAAUACCGAUGGCGAAGGCAGGUCUCUGGGCUGACACUGACGCUCAUGCACGAAAGCGUGGGGAGCAAACAGG